rnacentral:rRNA from 1 species
AGUGAACGCUGGCGGUAGGCCUAACACAUGCAAGUCGAACGGCAGCACAGUAAGAGCUUGCUCUUACGGGUGGCGAGUGGCGGACGGGUGAGGAAUACAUCGGAAUCUACUUUUUCGCGGGGGAUAACGUAGGGAAACUUACGCUAAUACCGCAUACGACCCACGGGUGAAAGCAGGGGAUCUUCGCACCUUGCGCGAUUGAAUGAGCCGAUGUCGGAUUAGCUAGUUGGCGGGGUAAAGGCCCACCAAGGCGACGAUCCGUAGCUGGUCUGAGAGGAUGAUCAGCCACACUGGAACUGAGACACGGUCCAGACUCCUACGGGAGGCAGCAGUGGGGAAUAUUGGACAAUGGGCGCAAGCCUGAUCCAGCCAUACCGCGUGGGUGAAGAAGGCCUUCGGGUUGUAAAGCCCUUUUGUUGGGAAAGAAAAGCAGCAGGUUAAUACCCCGCUGUUCUGACGGUACCCAAAGAAUAAGCACCGGCUAACUUCGUG